rnacentral:rRNA from 1 species
CAGCCGCCGCGGUAAUACGAAGGGGGCUAGCGUUGUUCGGAUUUACUGGGCGUAAAGGGCGCGUAGGCGGACUGAUAAGUCAGGGGUGAAAUCCCAAGGCUCAACCUUGGAACUGCCUUUGAUACUGUUUGUCUUGAGUUCGAGAGAGGUAAGUGGAACUGCGAGUGUAGAGGUGAAAUUCGUAGAUAUUCGCAAGAACACCAGUGGCGAAGGCGGCUUACUGGCUCGAAACUGACGCUGAGGCGCGAAAGCGUGGGGAGCAAACAGGAUUAGAUACCCGUGUAGUCCCUGUCUCUUAUAC